CCCACCAGAGCAAUCAAGCCAAGGGCCACAUCCCACCCCGGCAAUCAAGCUAAGGUCCGCAUCCCACCCGGGCAAUCAAGCCAAGGUCAACAUCCCACCCGGGCAAUCAAGCCAAGGUCAGCGAUCAUUAUCCCACCCGGGCAGUUAAGCCAAGGUCAGCAUCCCACCCGGACAGUCAAGCCAGGGUCAGCAACCCUCCCCAUUCCUCCGGGCUUGGGACCGGCUCUUAGUUGGGCUGGCUUGCCCCCCAAGAGGCUGGGUUAACAGUUUUGUUCCCCCUUUCUUCACCUCUUUCUACGUACAACAACUUUUGUUUUCACAGUCUCCGUAAAAGAUGCAGUGGAAGGUUCACGGCACCUUCAGUUAUCUUUCAACAACUGUAAUUUCUUGUUUCUUUACUAACUUCAUCUGUUUCGUUAAUGACUUCCCUUUCCAACGUCUCCGCCUUCUUUUUUGAGGGUAAUUGUGUU